rnacentral:precursor_RNA from 1 species
ACCCUGUAGAUCCGAACUUUAACAGUUAAACAUGAAUAAAGUGAGGACCCACGAGGUUA